UACGUAGGAGACGAGCGUUGUCCGGAGUUACUGGGCGUAAAGGGCGCGCAGGCGGCCGCCCGCGUGUGUGGUGAAAGCUCCUGGCUUAACUAGGAGAGGUCCAUGCAGACGGGGCGGCUUGAGCGUCGGAGAGGGGCAUGGAAUUCCGGGUGGAGCGGUGAAAUGCGUAGAGAUCCGGAGGAACACCAGUGGCGAAGGCGGCUCACUGGCCCGGUACUGACGCUGAGGUGCGAAAGCGUGGGGAGCAAACAGG
rnacentral:rRNA from 1 species